UGGGGAAUAUUGGACAAUGGGGGAAACCCUGAUCCAGCAAUGCCGCGUGUGUGAAGAAGGCCUGAGGGUUGUAAAGCACUUUAGUGAGGGAGGAAGUGUUAUUGAUUAAGAGUUGAUAGCAUUGACGUUACCUCAAGAAUAAGCACCGGCUAACUCUGUGCCAGCAGCCGCGGUAAUACAGAGGGUGCAAGCGUUAAUCGGAAUGACUGGGCGUAAAGGGCGCGUAGGCGGCUUGAUAAGUUAGAUGUGAAAUCCCUGGGCUUAACCUAGGAAUGGCAUUUAAUACUGUUGAGCUAGAGUAGGGUAGAGGGAAGUGGAAUUUCCGGUGUAGCGGUGAAAUGCGUAGAUAUCGGAAGGAACACCAGUGGCGAAGGCGGCUUUCUGGACCUAUACUGACGCU
rnacentral:rRNA from 1 species